CUCAGGUGGUACCCCAUCAGCCUCAGGUGGUACCCCAUCAGCACCAGGUGUCCCACCCACACCUGAACCUCAGGCAGCAGGUACAGGCAGCAAGACACACAAGACGUGGUUCAGCUUCAAGAUCCUAAAGAGACGCAGCAAGAACAGAGUGUCUCCCUCUGGUGCCAUUCCUCCUGACACAAAUCAGAGCAAUAGCGCUGAUGCAGCUGUGCCUGUCCAGAAGCCUCGUAAUCGCUCACUCUUCAUCAGAUUGUUCACGAGUUGCUUCAAAGGCUCUGAGGAAUC